rnacentral:rRNA from 1 species
CAGUCGCCACGGUAAUACAGAGGAUGCAAGCGUUAUCCGGAUUUAUUGGGUUUAAAGGGUGCGUAGGCGGCCUUGUAAGUCAGGGGUGAAAGACGGUAGCUCAACUAUCGCAGUGCCUUUGAUACUGCAGGGCUUGAAUGUACUAGAGGCAGGCGGAAUGUGACAAGUAGCGGUGAAAUGCAUAGAUAUGUCACAGAACACCAAUUGCGAAGGCAGCUUGCCAUGGUAUGAUUGACGCUGAGGCACGAAAGCGUGGGGACCAAACAGGAUUAGAUACCCCGGUAGUCCCUGUCUCUUAUAA